rnacentral:lncRNA from 1 species
AAAACCAUUGAAUUCGGAAUAUGGUAAAGUAGCUCCUGGGUGGGGAACUCUUCCUUUGAUAGGUGUCGCAAUGGCCUUAUUUGCGGUAUUUUUAUCUAUUAUUUUGGAGAUUUAUAAUUCUUCCAUUUUAUUGGAUGGAAUUUCAAUGAAUUAGAUCUAUAAGAACCGCGAAGUCCUUACUUUUGAGUCCAAAAUGAAUCAUUUAGAGCUCCAAUUUAUAGUACAUUCUAUUUUGUUUUGGUAGUUCGAUCGUGGAAUUUCUUUGUUUCUGUAUUUCCGGAGUAUGAGUGUGUGACUUGUUAUAAUUGAUCCUAUUGAUAGUACAGAGAAUGAGUCUGUCAUCUUGAUAGAGAUGAUUCUACUUCGUCAGAUAUUUAUUCUAAUAUUUGGAACACGAAAUAGAUUAAGAAAUAUUUGAACUAUGAUUCAUACUUAAUAUUCAGACCCCGUGUCCGGGCUCCAAAAAAUUUUCAAACAAAGAAUUCGAAUUUCUAAAUCGAAAGAUUCUUUUCUUUCAACCCCUAAUUUAUAUUUUGACCAAAAGCAAAACCUUUCUUUGAAUUUUUAGUCAUUCUAUUUAUUCAGGGAAUAAGUGAUGAUCCGAGGAUUCUUACUCAGAGAAUCCUUGAUUUGAUUUAGGUUAGGUUUUUUUUAUUGAAUCAUCGUGGUUCUAGUAUGAAUCUGAGGUUUUAAUCGAUUCAUAGGGUCUUAACAAGAGAAUUCCUAUCAAUAAUAAAGAAAACAAAGAAUAAAAGACAUAUUCCACAAAAACAAAUUCUAGAAAGAAAUAGGGAAAAAGAGAAUUCAAGAGGCCCAUAAGUAUCAAAAUAAAGAUAAAGACGACUGCGCCAACUUGAUAUUUUGGUAUUAUCGCCACAAAGAAGAGCUUUCGGAUUUUCCAGAGAAGAUGGGAUCAGAACUUAAUAACUUUAAAACUUUCUAUUCCAUAUCCGUUACAACUAGUAUUUGGGUGUUUUUGCUUGAGCUGUACGAGAUGAAAGUCUCAUAUACGGUUCUCAGGGGGGGAGUUCCGCCUAUCUCAAUAAAGUAUAUGAUUGGUUCGAAGAACGUCUCGAGAUUCAAGCAAUUGCGAAUGAUAUAACUAGUAAAUACGUUCCCCCCUAUGUCAAUAUAUUUUAUUGUUUAGGGGGAAUUACACUUACUUGUUUUUUAGUACAAGUAGCUAUUGGGUUUGCUAUGAAUUUUUACUACCGGCCGACCGUUACUGAGGCUUUUUCUUCUGUUCAAUACAUAAUGACUGAAGCCAACUUUGGUUGGUUAAUCUGAUCAGUUCAUCGAUGGUCGGCAAGUAUGAUGGUCCUAAUGAUGAUCCUGCAUGUAUUUCGUGUGUAUCUCACCGGCGGAUUUAAAAAACCUCGCGAAUUGACUUGGGUUACAGGUGUGGUUCUGGCUGUAUUAACCGCAUCUUUUGGCGUAACUGGUUAUUCCUUACCUCGGGACCAAAUUGGUUAUUGGGCAGUGAAAAUAGAAAUAG